rnacentral:rRNA from 1 species
GAUGAACGCUAGCGGCAGGCCUAAUACAUGCAAGUCGAGGGGUAUGGGGAGCUUGCUCCCUGGAGACCGGCGCACGGGUGCGUAACGCGUAUGCAACCUACCUUAACCUGGGGGAUAGCCCGGAGAAAUCCGGAUUAAUACCGCAUAAAAUCACAGUACGGCAUCGUACAAUGAUCAAACAUUCAUGGGGUUGGGAUGGG